UAAGACGAGCCACACGAACGUUAUUCGGAUUUACUGGGCUUAAAGGGUGCGUAGGCGGCGCGGAAAGUUGGGUGUGAAAUCCCUCGGCUCAACCGAGGAACUGCGCCCAAAACUACCGUGCUCGAGGGAGAUAGAGGUGAGCGGAACUUAGGGUGGAGCGGUGAAAUGCGUUGAUAUCCUAAGGAACACCGGUGGCGAAAGCGGCUCACUGGAUCUCUUCUGACGCUGAUGCACGAAAGCUAGGGUAGCGAACGGGAUUAGAUACCCCGGUAGUCCUAGCCGUAAACGAUGAGCACUGGACUGAAGGGUCCUCCAUAGCCUUUCGGUCGAAGCGAAAGUGUUAAGUGCUCCGCCUGGGGAGUAUGGUCGCAAGGCUG
rnacentral:rRNA from 1 species